rfam:Stegodyphus mimosarum contig14901, whole genome shotgun sequence.
GCCUUUGUGGUGUAGUGGUCAGCACGCUUCUCCCGUAUCGAGAGGUCCAUGGUUCGAGUCCCGGCAAGGGCA